UACAGAGGGUGCGAGCGUUAGUCGGAAUUACUGGGCGUAAAGCGCGCGUAGGCGGCUUUGCAAGUCGGGUGUGAAAUCCCCAGGCUUAACCUGGGAACUGCAUUCGAGACUGCAUUGCUAGAGUAUGGGAGAGGGAAGUGGAAUUUCCGGUGUAGCGGUGAAAUGCGUAGAUAUCGGAAGGAACAUCAGUGGCGAAAGCGACUUCCUGGACCAAUACUGACGCUCAUGUGCGAAAGCGUGGGGAGCAAACAGG
rnacentral:rRNA from 1 species